CCCACGCAAAACCCCGCAAAACUUGCCAGCUCCAGAAAGAAGAAACAAAAAAAGACGGCUCCUUUGUACGAUUGGGG
rnacentral:SRP_RNA from 1 species